CUUAAAGUCAUGAGUAGCAAAACAAUUGAACAAUUUGAAUGAUUUGAAUGUUAACCAAGAUCUUCCACUUACAAAUCUUCCUUAUUUAGGAAACGGGAAAAAAAAAAAGAGAUCCCACCUCUCUUUAAAAUCAGAUAAGAAACAUUCCGGUAGUAGUGAUGUACACCCUUUUAAUUAUCAAUCAUAAAUGUUUAAGUUUGUUUAAAAAGUAUUUAUUAUUAACAGAAAAAAUAAAAAUUGGCUUCCUGAAGGCCAAUUUGCCACAUGAUGUAUAACACUGGGAACAAAAUUAAAAGCAUCUCUUUACAUUUGCAUCUGGCAAUGUGCUCCAUGUUAGAACCAUAGCCAUGUGUUUAUGGAGUGCAGCUCUCCUGGUCUUGAGAUACAUGCUGUUUUUUAUAGCCUAACCAGAAUAGCUCAGCACAUGCAGGACAAGAGGCUGGAAAGCCCUGGCCCCUCACCCCAGCAAGGAAGCUCAGGAUCACUGCAGGCUCCCACACUGCUUCUCUCAGCAUUGGUUUAAGUCCAGAUCUUACCCUCUUUCCACUUCUAGGGCAAAUAUUACUAAAUAUGGGUAUUUCCCAACGUAGCCUUCACCUGGGUGCAAGGGUUAGGUAGGGGGAAGGGAAGACGGGGAAAAGCUGAGAGAGUAGGAGGAGAGAGAAAACAGAAGAUACAGGGAAAAGGAGAGAAAGGUAAAUAAACCUGUUCAAGGCAAUUCCCAUUAUAUCAUGCAGGUUUGACUUUGAAUGGAUAGGAUAACUAGACAUCUGAAAGCUUAACCAGCCACACUGGUCUGCAUAUUUGGAUCCAACGUAGAGGAAGAAAACUAAUCUCAGACAUUUGCACCACUGACAAUCAGGGUAUUCAUUUGAAGGGAGGCAGUGGCGGGGUGGGGUGUGGGGGGGAGAGAUGAGAGAAUGAAUGUAAAAUGUGUCUUUAUUCCUGAAUAUCCAAGAAUCUAGGCCCUUGCUGAGAAUGAAACCCCUGCCUACUGACCAAGUGGUAGCCUUCAGAGCUCUUAUAUAUCUAACUUUCACAGGAAAGGGGGAGGAGGUCAGCUACCUCCACUCAGUGCAGCCUCUCUUCCACACAGUGUUUCCUUUCUACUGCUCAUCACUUACCACAAGUAUUGUGUUUUUCCUGGAACCAACUUAAACUGAUCUUAAAGAGGGCAAGCACUAACAACAGAAAUUCCAUUUCAACCUCCGGUGCCCUACAUGUGCUUCUCCCAGCCUCCCGGAGAAUUCUGAGUUUGUUUGUUUGUUUUGGUGGCUUGAGGAAGAUGAGGUUAUCUACUCUGAAGGAAGAUCCAGACAGCAGGAAUUAAGGAAUCAGGGACACCCUGGCAUCCUAGGCCCAGUAAGGAAUUGUCUUCCUUCUAACUGCACUGCCAGAGCUCAGAGGCUGCGGAGAGGCGGCUGCUGCUUUUCCCCCGACCCACCGGGUCCUAAAUCCCGGGAAAGGCCUCGGGGCCGAGGCCGGGGAGGCACUCUCCGCUUGUCCUCUCCCGUCCUGCAGGACCCCAACGGGUCGUCUCCUCAAAGUUAAUCCAAGGAAUCCAGCGCCUGCCUGGUUUUGCCCAUACCCUUUCCAGGUCCCAACUGGGUGGAAAGGGAAGUGGAGGAGAUGGGAAAAGGAGAUAGGAAUAUUUUAUCUUAAAAAAGACAUUCUUUUUCCUUGUUCAACACACAAAACCAAAACCCCUUUCUCUUAUUUCUCGUCUUCCGAUUCCAUUUUAGUUUCUAAUGGAGUGUGUGUGUGUGUGUGUGUGUGUGUA